AUUGAACGCUGGCGACAUGCCUUACACAUGCAAGUCGAACGGCAGCACGGGUGCUUGCACCUGGUGGCGAGUGGCGAACGGGUGAGUAAUACAUCGGAACAUGUCCUGUAGUGGGGGAUAGCCCGGCGAAAGCCGGAUUAAUACCGCAUACGAUCUACGGAUGAAAGCGGGGGACCUUCGGGCCUCGCGCUAUAGGGUUGGCCGAUGGCUGAUUAGCUAGUUGGUGGGGUAAAGGCCUACCAAGGCGACGAUCAGUAGCUGGUCUGAGAGGACGACCAGCCACACUGGGACUGAGACACGGCCCAGACUCCUACGGGAGGCAGCAGUGGGGAAUUUUGGACAAUGGGCGAAAGCCUGAUCCAGCAAUGCCGCGUGUGUGAAGAAGGCCUUCGGGUUGUAAAGCACUUUUGUCCGGAAAGAAAUCCUUGGCCCUAAUACGGUCGGGGGAUGACGGUACCGGAAGAAUAAGCACCGGCUAACUACGUGC
rnacentral:rRNA from 1 species